AAUCUCUCUCCAAAUUUCCAAAUAAUACUUACAUUUUUUUCUUUGCUUGUUUGUGUAAUUGAACUCAAAGAAUUUUAGUAAUCAUUCAAAAUGUCCUGAGUCUGUCAGAGCAGAGGAUAGCUAGUUCUGCUUUAUAUUCAGGAAAUGCAUUUCUAUAAAAAACUCAUUUUUUCAUUAGUUGGGAUCUGUUUUAAUAUUACUCUUCCUUGUGAAACUGACUAGAUUCUCUAGGAAAUCUGUAUAGAUCAAUUAGACUUAAAUUACUAUUUUUACAAAUUUUUGCUUUUGACUGGUAAUUUAAAAGUUCUUGUUCUUGUUUACUUUGGUGAAUGUUGGUAAAUUCUAAUGAAUACAUUAAAAGAAUGUAUGCUUAAUGUAAUGAAUACACUGGAAGAAUGUUUGCUCAAGCAAACAGCCUCAGUGAAGAUUUAAAGACAACUGUUUUGUUCCCCAAUGAAUUUAAAGUAGGGCAAGAUGCAUAGACACACUGGUGUAUAUGAUAUUCUUAGUUUAUGACCAGUAAAUGAUGAAUCACACCAAGUUAGGUCAUUCACAUAUAGAGCACAUAGUAGAUGCUUGAUACUUGCCAAAUUGAACUACUGGAAAGGAUAUCUUGGUGCAAAUGAGCAUGGAAGUGCAAAGGUUUUGUGUACUUUUAGUUUAAGCUGACAACUACAUGUUGGUUAUUUUAAGAUCUAUCUAUCUAUCUCCAG
rnacentral:lncRNA from 1 species